rnacentral:misc_RNA from 1 species
UCUCUAUCUCUCUCUCUCUCUCCACCUUCCAUUUAUAUUCCUUUGUCUUCCAUUUCCUCCACUUUGUCCACAAUCUCAUACCCACAUAUUUUCUACCACUUUCUCAGUCUCUCUUCUCUUGUUAGGGCAUAAAAAUUAGCCAUGGGUCGAUCUCCUUGUUGUGAGAAAGAACACACCAACAAAGGUGCAUGGACCAAAGAAGAAGAUGAGCGUCUUGUUGCCUACAUACAAGCUCAUGGUGAAGGUUGCUGGAGAACCCUACCUAAAGCUGCUGGCCUCCUUCGUUGUGGAAAAAGUUGUCGUCUUCGAUGGAUUAACUACCUACGCCCUGAUCUCAAGCGUGGAAAUUUUACUGUUGAAGAAGAUGAACUCAUUAUUGAACAGCACAGCCUCCUUGGUAACAAGUAAGGUCCAAAACUGAAUUUUUAUGUUCUUAUGCUAGUUUUAGAGGAAAUAUUAAUAAGGCUUUCUGUCUGCAUGUGUUAAGGUGGUCUCUUAUAGCAGGUAGGUUACCAGGUAGAACUGAUAAUGAGAUAAAGAACUUGUGGAACACCCACCUGAAGAAACGCCUUCUUUGCAUGGGACUUGACUCCCAAACUCAUGAGCCCUUUACCUCUUGUGGACCAGCCAUAAAAGCACCUGCAUCCCCCGCUACUCGCCAUAUGGCACAGUGGGAGAGUGCUAGGCUUGAAGCUGAGGCUCGGCUUUCCAUGGAGUCCUCACUCUUCAAUCCACCAACUCCGGGGAAAACUGAUAAUGAUUAUUUCCUGCGGAUGUGGAACUCUGAAGUUGGAGAUUCUUUUCGAAAAUUCAAUCGGGCAGACAAAACUACUUGCCAAAGCCCAGCUUCAGCAUCUCAGGCAUCUUCAUCGACCAAAUGUGGAUCAGUUUCAGCUGUCACUGUUGAUAUUAGCCCCAACUUAGCAGGCUACUCUACCACGGCAAGCAAUCAAAAUGAAGAUAUGGAAUGCAAGAGCUGCAAAUCUCACGCUGAAGAUUUGAAUGCUGGGUCUGAUUCAUCAAGCUCUAUUGAGUUGGAGGAUUCUUCAGAUUCAACACUACAACUUUUGUUGGAUUUCCCCAUUAACAAUGACAUGAGUUUCUUGGAAGGAAAUGUCGAUAGCUAUGCCACUUAUUCGGUAAUGCAGUUAUGACCAAAAUCUUGCAGUGCAAUUUGAAGCCUCGUUUGCUUGAAUUUUGGGCUACCCUUUUGAGUACUAAAAGCUAUGAAGCCAUUGUAAAAGCAAACAAAAGUUUAUAAAGCCAAAUAGUUAGUUGUUAUGGUUUGAUUCUUCGUCUGAGUACAGUGAGGGUGUGGUGAUGUUAACAUUUCCUAGUUUUAUUUAUUGGAGCCCUGCUAAUUAUAUUUGUAGAGAAGAGAUAUAUAUUCUUUGGGACCUAAUCUUUUCAGACUCAGUUUCGCAAAUGUGCUAUGUAACACUACAAUUAUCAACAUGGGAAGAUGCUUCAUGUUCAUGAGAAUUUUGUCUUGGUCCCUAUAUUACUUUAGGCCAUAAAGUUCACUCAAGUUGUGAUAUUACAGUGAUUUUCUGAUGCUUUCUCAGUAUUUGACCACAGCAGCAAUUUAUCAAGUAUGCGCUGUUGCACAUAUAAUUAGUAUGUGUGAUCUAGAUUUAGAUUUGUGUGUCUCAUAACAAAAUGUUUGCAGUAGCAGCAACUUCAAGAAAUAAAAUCAAACUCUUUUCUCAUAGACAAAAUAUUGUACUUAUAUACAUGCGCACGCUCAAUAGUAGAAGUUUGAUUAUUUUACAGUGGCAAAGACACAAACUACAAGGAAAGAAAUAAACAAGAGAAGUGUACAGAAGAGUUACCAAAAAAAAUUAUGAAGAGAAAUAGCUCUGAUUCCAUUUAAUGCUUUCAGACCAAGCUCGAAACUUGCAACCUUAGAAGCAACCAAGGAGUUUCUUUGGAGUUUGCCCAGUAGCACGGUAUUUUGCAGCCAUUUCCUCUGCCUUUAGGACUCCUUCUCCUCUUUUGGCUUCAACCACUGCUCUCUUUUCUUCAGCCUGUUUGUGAAUUAAAGCUACUUUGUUUUUCAUAUUCUCUGCAUAUUCUGCCUUUUGCUUCUCCAAUUUUUCCUGCCAAUUACUUAACUUAUUAGUUUUGAAUCUGAAGUGUUAAAGAACAACCUUAUAAAAUCAGCAGAACAUCAUCCCUUUCAAUUUACCAAAUGGAGUCUGAAUUUUCCAUUAAUUGUAGCACAGCACAUAUAUAAUGGUGGAAAUAGUACGCGUAGGAUUAAUUGUUGAUUCCUCGAUAAACUAAGCAUACAAAUAGCAGAGGUAAAUUAAGCAGUUACCUCAAUCUAAAGGGAUUAGUUACCUCAAUCUUUCUCAACUUGGCUUCCAAUGCUGCCUUUUCGCUGUUCUCCCAUGCAAUAACAGCAGAGAGCUUUUUCUGAGCCCUGUUCAGCAGUAUUAAGCAUAGUUGCUAAGUUUUCAACAAUCAAACUCCUCAUAUACACACAAGCAAAUUCAAACGACAAAUAAUAUAUACAAACAGAUUAUCAUGCUAGUCAACAUACAGCUAACUUACAAUUAAUAUGUAAUUAUUAACAGACCAGGAUUUUUUCAAGUCAAAUGGAACCCUAUUUCUCCAUCAAUGUUAGACAAGUUUAUCCUGAUAUCUUUCAUUUCACUGUUGAUUACAAAAGAAUGAAUUAGUUAUAGCCUUGGCUUUUGUAGAAGGAAUGCUACCAUGCUAACCAGUGAACAUAACAGGUAAGAAACUACUAUAUAUGUAAGAAAAAAAGUGCAGCUUGAUAUGUGGUGUUAAUUGGCAAUCAGUUUUGCCAAUCACAAUAUUACGUUUAGAUGAUUAAGAUGAUAAUUUCACUUAAUUUAGCCGCAUAUCAGUUGCUGGACGGUGGGAAAAAAUGAUAGGUCACAGAACUACUUACUUAUUCUCUGCUUUAGUUUUCUCACUAUCUUCCCAUGCCUUGAUAAAGGAAUUUUUCUUUUCCUUUUCAACCUCUGCAAGAGCAGUGUCUGGAAAACACAACAUUAGAGUAUACGUUACUCCUUAGGGAACAUAACAUUUCGGCAUGCCAUGGAAAAUGAACAACUUCAUCAUGCUCUACACUGGAUCUCAAUGAAACUGUAUUAUUUGUCCUUACGAAAACAAGUGUUCAAAUGAUUUACAAAAUUAAAAUGCCAGCAAAAUAGCAAUUGAUUAAAAUUGGAUAUACUCACUUGGCCAACAGAAUAAAUUAAAUAAAAGAAAUAAGACUCUUUUGAUUUCAUCCUCCAUAAUCUCCAACUUAAUUUAGAUGGGAAACAACAUAUAAGAAGGAUUCACCGAUUUUACCUCUGUCAUGGGAUCCCCCUGAAAUCUUCUUUGGAACAGAUUCUGGAUUCU